UCUGGGCAGUGUCUUAGGGACUAAGGU
rnacentral:piRNA from 1 species